UACAGAGGGUGCAAGCGUUAAUCGGAAUUACUGGGCGUAAAGCGUGCGCAGGCGGUUCGUUAUGUCCGUUGUGAAAGCCCCGGGCUCAACCUGGGAAUGGCAAUGGAAACUGGCGGGCUAGAGUGUGGCAGAGGGGGGUGGAAUUCCGCGUGUAGCAGUGAAAUGCGUAGAGAUGCGGAGGAACACCGAUGGCGAAGGCAGCCCCCUGGGCUGACACUGACGCUCAGGCACGAAAGCGUGGGGAGCAAACAGG
rnacentral:rRNA from 1 species